rnacentral:snRNA from 1 species
UCCUGUUGGCUAGUGCUUAAUGAAACUGUUCCAUAUAUGGAGAAGAUUAGUAUGGCCUCUGCCCAAGGAUGAGAGGGAAAUUUUUGAAGUGUUCCAUAUUAAA